UUCGCCCUUAGAGUUUGAUCCUGGCUCAGGACGAACGCUGGCGGCGCGCCUAACACAUGCAAGUCGAACGAGCGAGAGGGAGCUUGCUUUCUCGAGCGAGUGGCGAACGGGUGAGUAACGCGUGAGGAACCUGCCUCAAAGAGGGGGACAACAGUUGGAAACGACUGCUAAUACCGCAUAAGCCCACAGGUCGGCAUCGACCAGAGGGAAAAGGAGCAAUCCGCUUUGAGAUGGCCUCGCGUCCGAUUAGCUAGUUGGUGAGGUAACGGCCCACCAAGGCAACGAUCGGUAGCCGGACUGAGAGGUUGAACGGCCACAUUGGGACUGAGACACGGCCCAGACUCCUACGGGAGGCAGCAGUGGGGAAUAUUGCACAAUGGGGGAAACCCUGAUGCAGCGACGCCGCGUGAAGGAAGAAGUAUCUCGGUAUGUAAACUUCUAUCAGCAGGGAAGAUAAUGACGGUACCUGACUAAGAAGCCCCGGCUAACUACGUGCCAGCAGCCGCGGUAAUACGUAGGGGGCAAGCGUUAUCCGGAUUUACUGGGUGUAAAGGGAGCGCAGGCGGGAAGACAAGUUGGAAGUGAAAUCCAUGGGCUCAACCCAUGAACUGCUUUCAAAACUGUUUUUCUUGAGUAGUGCAGAGGUAGGCGGAAUUCCCGGUGUAGCGGUGGAAUGCGUAGAUAUCGGGAGGAACACCAGUGGCGAAGGCGGCCUACUGGGCACCAACUGACGCUGAGGCUCGAAAGUGUGGGUAGCAAACAGGAUUAGAUACCCUGGUAGUCCACACUGUAAACGAUGAUUUCUAGGUGUUGGAGGAAUGACCCCUUCAGUGCCGCAGUUAACACAAUAAGUAAUCCACCUGGGUGAGUCUGACCGCAAGGUUGAAACUCAAAAGGAAUUGACGGGGGCCCGCACAAGCAGUGGAGUAUGUGGUUUAAUUUCGACGCAACGCGAAGAACCUUACCAGGUCUUGACAUCCUGCUAACGAAGUAGAGAUACAUUAGGUGCCCUUCGGGGAAAGCAGAGACAGGUGGUGCAUGGUUGUCGUCAGCUCGUGUCGUGAGAUGUUGGGUUAAGCCCCGCAACGAGCGCAACCCCUAUUGUUAGUUGCUACGCAAGAGCACUCUAGCGAGACUGCCGUUGACAAAACGGAGGAAGGUGGGGACGACGUCAAAUCAUCAUGCCCCUUAUGACCUGGGCUACACACGUAAUACAAUGGCGGUCAACAAAGGGAUGCAAAGCCGCGAGGCAGAGCGAACCCCAAAAAGCCGUCCCAGUUCGGACUGCAGGCUGCAACUCGCCUACAUGAAGUCGGAAUCGCUAGUAAUCGCAGGUCAGCAUACUGCGGUGAAUACGUUCCCGGGCCUUGCACACACCGCCCGUCA
rnacentral:rRNA from 1 species